AACGAUAAUCAAUAAUUUUAUUAAAUCAUUGGCUUAAAUUUCUGCGCCGAACGCUCUGCGCAAUACAUGUGUGCGUGUAUAGUAGGCGCCGGCUUCGCUACGUAGUAGACGUAGACCGUUGCAACUCGUGGUUAUCACGUGUACAGUAACUCGCAUUGACUUGUUUUGCUGUGUAAAGGAAAAGAGAAUAUUACUAAACAUUUUGGCAAGGAGGAUUCUACGUAUAAUAUCUUGAGUAAUACGUACAUACUUUUGAUAUAUGUAUAUAUUAGCAUUUCAUUAAUAGAUCCUUAACAGGAAAGGAAAAUCAGCCUCGUUAAGUUUAUAAUAUUUAUAAUGCUCUUUCUAAGUUUUUUUUAUGUUCAAUGAUU